rnacentral:tRNA from 1 species
GGGACCGUAGCCCAACGGCAGGAGGCAACGGCUUUAGGUGCCGUACAGUGUCGGUUCGAAUCCGAUCGGUCCCA